rnacentral:rRNA from 1 species
AUUGAACGCUGGCGGCAGGCCUAACACAUGCAAGUCGAGCGAGCGGCGGACGGGUGAGUAAUGCCUAGGAAUCUGCCUGGUAGUGGGGGAUAACUACUGGAAACGGUAGCUAAUACCGCAUACCAUCGGAUGUGCCCAGAGGGGAUUGGCUAGUAGGUGGGGUAAAGGCUCACCUAGGCGACGAUCCCUAGCUGGGCGGAGAGGAUGACCAGCAACACUGGAACUGAGACACGGUCCAGACUCCGACGGGAGGCAGCAGUGGGGAAUAGUGCACAAUGGGCGCAAGCCUGAUGCAGCCAUGCCGCGUGUAUGAAGAAGGCCUUCGGGUUGUAAAGUACUUUCAGCGGGGAGGCGUUACCCGCAGAAGAAGCACCGGCUAACUCCGUGCCAGCAGCCGCGGUAAUAC